GUUUUUAAUACCAGCUACCAUUUGUCAUGCAUCUAAUAUUCAGAAGGACUUCUCAUAAAAUCCAAGAAAAAUUUUUCCAAAGAAGCAUGCUGAACAAAGGGCAAUAAUCUAGGAGGCAAGUGCAGUGGAUUGAAUAGUGUC